AGAUUAAAAACUACAAGUUUCUUUUUCAUAUCCAUCAGAUUGACAAAAACUUAAAAACUUCGUAAUACCAAGUGCUUGAGAGGAUGUGGAACAAAGGAAACUUUCAUACUCAGCUGGAGAAAGUGUAAAUUGGUACAGUCACUUUGGAGAGAAAUCUGACAAGAAAUGCACUCGGUGAUGGAAAGAGAGCCAUUAUUCUGAAGAGCACUUGGCCAAAGGGCAUAUAUACCUAGGAAUUUAUCAGCACCUGCUUUUAGUACUUCACUUAACUUUGUGGAGACGGAAAGAGAUCU